AUGCACCUUUAUUAUUAUUAUUCUGAUAUAAGUGCCACACGUCAGAAACUGGAGUUCAAAUUCCCUCUGACCGUGUCGUGUGUCCACUUCAUAUGCUCUUCUAUUGGAGCCUAUAUCGCAAUCAAAGUGCUCAAAGUAAAACCACUGAUCGAGGUCGCCCCCGAGGAUCGCUGGAAAAGGAUAUUCCCCAUGUCAUUUGUAUUCUGCAUAAACAUAGUGUUGGGUAAUAUCAGCCUGCGGUACAUCCCGGUCUCUUUCAUGCAGACCAUAAAAUCUUUCACUCCUGCAACAACAGUUAUUCUGCAGUGGUUGGUCUGGAGGAAAUAUUUUGAGUGGCGCAUAUGGGCUUCUUUGAUUCCAAUAGUGGGUGGAAUCCUCUUAACUUCAGUAACUGAACUUAGCUUCAAUAUGUUUGGUUUUUGCGCUGCCAUGGUUGGCUGCCUUGCCACAUCCACAAAGACCAUCUUGGCAGAAUCCCUGCUCCAUGGAUACAAAUUUGACAGCAUUAACACAGUGUACUACAUGGCACCCUUUGCCACCAUGAUACUAUCGAUACCAGCGAUCGUACUCGAAGGGAGUGGCGUAAUCAACUGGCUGUACACAUACGAGUCAACCGUCCCUGCACUGAUCAUCAUAAUCACCUCAGGAGUUCUCGCCUUCUGCCUGAACUUCUCCAUCUUCUAUGUUAUCCAUUCAACGACAGCGGUGACCUUCAAUGUAGCCGGCAAUCUCAAGGUGGCUGUCGCGGUGCUGAUCUCCUGGAUGAUCUUCCGGAACCCGAUCUCUGCCAUGAACGCCGUAGGGUGUGGGAUCACGCUCGUCGGCUGCACCUUCUACGGCUAUGUGAGGCAUCUGAUCUCCCAGCAGGCCGCCUCCCCGAGCCCGCGCACCCCGAGAAGCCGGUUGGAGAUGCUCCCCCUCGUAGGCGAAAAGCAAGAGAAGAUCUAGCAGCAGGACAUAUAGGCGCUCUUGUCAAUCGUAGGAAUAAUGAACACACAGCAUUUGGGGUUAGAAAGAGCGAAGUUCCGUAGGAUACAUAUUUUGGUGUUGGUAACGAUGCUGUACUUGAUCCACCCGACUUAAUUUCGCUGUUGUUUCAUGUCAGUUGCUGCACCCGGUUUGUUCUUCGUGGAAGUGAUCUGACAUUUUUUGGCCUGUGCUGCUGGACAAAUACUUUCUUGUGCUAGUAUAAAAAGUUGUUCAGGAUGCUGCUUGCAGUAGCAUCUGACCACUGACGCUAGCAGAUUGCUGUAGGCGGCACAAUUUUUUGUUUCCUCUUAAGUGUUUGGAUUUUUUUUUACGGUGACCAUGGCAGGCAACAGCGGGCCUGAACCAUUUUCAAAUGAUUUGAAAAUCAGAAGACGAUACAACACCAAUCAUUUUCAAAUAUAUUGAGAACUCCC
rnacentral:rRNA from 1 species